UUCUUCAACAACUGCAGCCACCUCGGUAGCUCGCUAGCCAACAAAGUCUGAACAUUCAAGUUCUUUAGACAAUUUCGUGGUUUAUUUGCCACUAUCUUUGAAACAUACUUAUGUGUAAACAACUAUUUACCCCAUGUAAUUUUAGAUUUAAAAUUAGGUAUUAAUAUUUAACAGCCAACUAGCUGGCUGGUUAAGUUAGCACUUGUCUAGUCGCUAAUGCUAGCUAGCUAACAUCUCUGACCAUGAGUUCACUAAGCUACUCCUCCUGCUAAAGAAGAGGAGGUCUGCUGGACGGAGACAGAAACUCUCGUGAAAGAGGAGGAGGAGGAGAAGGAUGUUACAAUACUAAAACAAGUAGAGGGUGAGGCUGUUACCGUAAAAGAAGAGUGACGUUACAGUGAAAGAGGAGGAAGACGUUUUCGAAUGAAUGUAUAUGAUGAUGAUGAUGUAGAGGGGGAGAUUACUGUCACAUUAGAGGAGGACGAAGAAGAGAAGACUGGAAAACUGAUUAAAACCAGUAAAUACAGAGUGAGAAGUGACUAUCGAGGAUCCUCUGGGGAGCCUCAACAACCUCAUGAUGCUGGCAAGGCAGAGAAGAGUCUCUCCGGAUCAAAAUACCUCAAGAAACACCAGCAGAGACCCUAAAUGAAGAAAAAUUAAUGAUGCUCUGACUGCGGGAAGAGUUUUGUUUCUUUAGGACAUUUAAAAUCACACCAGAGAACACACAUGGGAGAGAAACCUUAUAGCUGUGCUCAAUGUGGGAAGAGAUGCACUCAGUCAACAGACCUUAAAAAAACAUGAGAGAAUAGAUACAGGAGAUAAACCUUAUAGCUGCUCUGACUGUGGACAGAGUUUUGUUUUUUUUCAGUUAAGAUUACACCAGAGAACUCACACGGGAGAGAAUCCUUAUAGAUGUGCUCAACGUGGGAGGAGUUUUACUCAGUUAAGUAACUUGAUAGUACAUCAGAGAAUACACAGAGAGAGAAACCUCAUAGCUGUGAUCAAUGUGACAAGAGAUACUCUGAUAAAAGAUCUCUGAUCAAACAUUGGAAAAUACAUACAUGAAGGAGUUGUUUCAUGAUAAAAAUGAAUUAAUGUCACAAUGUAGAAUGUAAAUGUACUAGAGCAUGACAUUGGGGACUGGGCCCCGAUCCAAAAACAUGCUUAUCUAGUGAACCCUGAAAAGAAAGAGAAGCUCCGCAGUGAGGUGGAAAGUUUCUACGGAAAUCACAGGAGUUUCCUCUUGAAAUCAGACAUGUCUGUGGUAAGGAUGUAACAGUAUAACUUUAGACCGUCCCCUCGCCCAUACCUGGGCGCGAACCAGGGACCCUCUGCACACAUCAACAACUGACACCCACGAAGUAUCGUUACCCAUCGCUCCACAAAAGCCGUGGCCCUUGCAGAGCAAGGGGAACUACUACUUCAAGGUCUCAGAGCAAGUGACGUCACCGAUUGAAACGCUAUUUAGCGCGCACCACCGCUAACUAAGCUAGCCGUUUCACAUCCGUUACAAGGACAACUCGGUUGCUGAUCGUCUCAAGGGUGAGCAGUCAAAAAUAUUUGGGUUUUGUGUUUAGCCAGUGCGAUGCCAUGGAUCACAAUUUAUUUGGACUUUCCGUAUUGGAGAGGAGUUUUGUUUGGACUCGUUCCAAGGGGACGAGAGUUCCAGAAGUGAAAUAAUAUUUUAAUCAAUGGUAUAUUCUGUUUUUUAUCCUCUUAUGUUUGUGUACUAAAUAUUUAUGUUUAUUUUCAUAGUUUUUUCCUGUGAAGCCAUUGUGUUGCCUCCAUGUCUGAAAUAUGCUGGAAAAAUAAAGCUUGAUUUGAUUUGAA